rnacentral:misc_RNA from 1 species
CCAACAAAUAGCCGAACAGUGGAAUGUUAUUCCUCGUGCAGUUGAGGAGCUGAUAAAGCUUGUCGAUACUUCCUCUCUUUCGAAAGAAGAUCUUUGUCAACAGGCCAAAGCAUGCAAACAAAUGUACGAGGCAGAACUUACUAAAGUUAGUGAUGAUUCUAAGCUGAAGAAUAAAAGGCUGAAGACUGAUGAAAAUGAGAGGGAUGGCAAUAGGAGAUCCAAUGCCAUCUCCGGUGUUGCAGGAGACUAUGACAGUGAUGAAACAAUUGAAAUGACAGAGGAGGAAAUUGACAUUGCUUACAAUAAUGUUGCCUCUAAUAUUUGCUAACUUUAAAUGAUUCUCAUGUAAUUUUUAUUCACCC